rnacentral:lncRNA from 1 species
CACAUUUUGAAUAGUUUUAUUUUCCCAUAAUUGAGUGCAUUUGUAAACAACCAUACAAACACUGCCUUUUUUAUUUCGUAAUUAAAACAAACUAUCGUUACAUUUUUUUUUACAAGCACGCAUAUUGAAGUUGGAACAUUGGAACUCUCCCUGGCUCAGUGUUUUAAUGUGUUUCUGAAAAUAACAAGACUGAAAGUAAGAACUCACCCAACUCAGCAACAUAGAAAUGUGUACAGCAAUAUAUAAUUUAACAAUGACUCGUUGGCAGAACAGUUCUCUUGCAGAGGACAUUUUAUUCUCAUUGGACUAGCCUACUUCAAGAUCAAACUGAAGGUCAAAUAAAAAAUACUCAGUCACCAUUUGAAGGAAUUCACCAUUCAGAGAAAUGUUUGGGGUUGUUUUUAUACCACUGAAAGACUGAAGUAGUCUACUGUAUCUCCUCUUCCUUCUCACCAGAGGGACAUAUGAGUUUAAAGAUAUCUAUUCAGAUCCAGGUCAUCAACGAUCCUAGUUAAAUAACAAUGCCUAGUUAAAUACAGGUAAAACAACAACAAUGGCAUCGUUCAGGUCUAAUUACUCUGUCACUACAAUGAACUAAUGAUUGGGGGAGGGGGCGGUAAUCAUUUGCUAAUUAUUGACAGUGGGAAAGUAUUAAUUGUAUGAUGUCUCAAUAGAUCGAAAAUGAGUACAAAUUGUGGAGAGGCAAACUUUCUGUUGUAUACCAUCCUGUGUCUUUUGCAGGGGGAGUAUACAGUAUAUUCAACAGCCAAUUAUAGCUCUAGUAAGAGUCAGUAAACUCCAGACCGACAGACUUUUUGAAAAUGUUUUUUUAGGCGUGUUUGGCAUGCAGUUCAGUCAUGGGCAAAAUCGCCUUUGACAUUUGAAAGACUUUUUGAUUGAUAUUGACAUAUCAAAGCAGAGAAACUGCCAUGUUCUGCAGAGGUUGUAAAAACACUGACUGCAUUUUAAAGGCAAAACACAAAAUUAGCUACAAAACAUCUGUUUAGGUCUAUGCAUGCAGUCUUCAAUUUAGUCAAAACAUCAUGAUUUAACAAAUGUAAUUCCAAUUUACCAAACCUUCUCAAAUGUCAAAAAUAAACAAUUUGGGAGAAUGUUAGACGAAUGCUGCUUUUAAUCCAAGGUUAUUCUAGCAUGCUAGGCAAUAGAUGCCUGAAUGUCCAGCUUCAAGAUCCAUAUGGUCUCUGCCUGUUUGGGAAUGCUUGUGUGGAUCCAAAAGAAACCCUAUCAAAACCCUGGUCACAUGUGAGUUAUAGGGAUCCAUAACCCUCGUGACAGGUGAGUUAUAGGGCUGCAUAACCCUCGUGACAGGUGAGUUAUAGGGAUCCAUAACCCUCGUGACAGGUGAGUUAUAGGGAUCCAUAACCCUCGUGACAGGUGAGUUAUAGGGAUCCAUAAGCCUUGUGACAGGUGAGUUAUAGGGAUCCAUAACCCUCGUGAUAGGUGAGUUAUAGGGAUCCAUAACCCUCGUGACAGGUGAGUUAUAGGGCUGCAUAACCCUCGUGACAGGUGAGUUAUAGGGCUGCAUAACCCUCGUGACAGGUGAGUUAUAGGGCUGCAUAACCCUCGUGACAGGUGAGUUAUAGGGCUGCAUAACCCUCGUGACAGGUGAGUUAUAGGGCUGCAUAACCCUUGUGACAGGUGAGUUAUAGGGAUCCAUAAGCCUCGUGACAGGUGAGUUAUAGGGCUGCAUACUGAAUUCUGAGGGCAUGUUCCAUAUCUCUACCUCGAGGUGACAAGACACACACUUUGUUUUAGCAAUCAUACACACACGCACACACAUCCCUCUGUGUCUCCCGGUUCUCUCUCCAGACAUCUCAGUCGAUCCCAGGGGAGAGCAAUCCGUCACCGAGCUACUUUCUUUUGAAAGAGGAAAACAUCUCCAAUUGAACGCUGGAUUCAGGCUUCUUUGUGUCAACCCCAUCAUAUUGUAGGCCUCUUGAAACUGAUCACAGUCAAUAUACAGUAUCAAUGGUCAAUUGAUUGAUUAUAAAUGUGUGUUAUAUGUAUUGAGCUGCAGAUUAUCAGUUUGUCUAUUUGUCAAUGGAAAGGCCAAAUCAGAAUCAUAAAAAAAGCCUAAGCCAUCAUGUUAAGAAGGCCGUCAUGUUAAGAAGGCCAUCAUGUUAAGAAGGCCAUCAUGUUAAGAAGGCCAUCAUGUUAAGAAGGCCAUCAUGUUAAGAAGGCCGUCAUGUUAAGAAGGCCGUCAUGUUAAGAAGGCCGUCAUGUUAAGAAGGCCGUCAU